rnacentral:lncRNA from 1 species
CCAAUGAUGAUUGUGGCCAAGUUUGGAUUAAUUUGGCUCAGCAGUUUCAGAGAAGAUUUUUGUAAAAGAUUACUAAGAUUUACGAAAAAUGGUUCAAAAUUGACUAUAAAGGGCAAGAACUCCUAAAGGGGUCAACUGACCAUUUCGGUCAUGUUGACUUAUUUGUAAAUCUUACUUUGCUGAACAUUAUUGCUUUUUACAGUUUAUCUCUAUCUAUAAUAAUAUUCAAG